UACGAAGGGGGCGAGCGUUGUUCGGAAUUACUGGGCGUAAAGGGCGCGUAGGCGGCCGAUCAAGUCAGAUGUGAAAGUCCUGGGCUUAACCUGGGGACUGCAUUUGAUACUGAUUGGCUUGAAUUCGGGAGAGGAUAGCGGAAUUCCCAGUGUAGAGGUGAAAUUCGUAGAUAUUGGGAAGAACACCGGUGGCGAAGGCGGCUCUCUGGACCGAUACUGACGCUGAGGCGCGAAAGCGUGGGGAGCAAACAGG
rnacentral:rRNA from 1 species